UACGUAGGCAGCGAGCGUUGUUCGGAGUUACUGGGCGUAAAGGGUGUGUAGGCGGUUGUUUAAGUUUGGUGUGAAAUCUCCCGGCUCAACUGGGAGGGUGCGCCGAAUACUGAGCGACUAGAGUGCGGGAGAGGAAAGUGGAAUUCCUGGUGUAGCGGUGAAAUGCGUAGAUAUCAGGAGGAACACCGGUGGUGUAGACGGCUUUCUGGACCGUAACUGAUGCUGAGACACGAAAGCGUGGGUAGCAAACAGG
rnacentral:rRNA from 1 species